rnacentral:rRNA from 1 species
AUUGAACGCUGGCGGCAGGCCUAACACAUGCAAGUCGAACGAGUGGCGGACGGGUGAGUAAUGUCUGGGAAACUGCCAGAUGGAGGGGGAUAACUACUGGAAACGGUAGCUAAUCCCGCAUACCAUCAGAUGUGGCCAGGUGGGAUUAGCUAGUGGGUGGGGUAACGGCUCACCUAGGCGACGAUCCCUAGCUGGUCUGAGAGGAUGACCAGCCACACUGGAACUGAGACACGGUCCAGACUCCUACGGGAGGCAGCAGUGGGGAAUAUUGCACAAUGGGCGAAAGCCUGAUGCAGCCAUGCCGCGUGUAUGAAGAAGGCCUUCGGGUUGUAAAGUACUUUCAGCGGGGAGGCGUUACCCGCAGAAGAAGCACCGGCUAACUCCGUGCCAGCAGCCGCGGUAAUAC